CCUCUAAGUACCAAAACCUGCCACGAAUGUAAUUAACAAAUCUAGAACAACUAGCUAAAUGUAUCAAUAACAUGUAAUUAUUGAGCAAGAUAUAAAUUUAGGUAACGACUCCAUUGAUAAAGUAAUAGAUUAUUGUGUCUUUUCUAAGCUAAAACCUAUUUCUUCUUUCUGGCAAUGUUCCAUGGUUUCGUUGCUUAAGGCUGAAUCUCAUUUUUCUUACAAAAGCAGCAUUUUCUGGGCUUACUUAGAUUUUACCAAUAUACUCUUUGCCGCACUAUUUUUGCUUUUGCC